UCAUCUAAAAUUCCAAACAGCCUCUCCCAGGACAGAUAAAAAUAACCCUAUAGUUCCAACAAUAUAAGAUUAUAGGGGGAUUUAAUCCUAAAUUGUCCAUUUCUAAAAUGUAAGUAUGACCGAACUAUAGGUCAUUCAAGCUCUUUUUCAAUUAUCAUAUAACUGUGUCUGGCAAACAUACUUGCUUACGUGAAGUAUGGCGACAUUUAGUUAAAACGUUCAACAGCAGGAUAGCCUUGGAUGAGGUGAUAAAGGUCAUCAGCGCCUGGCCUUCUCUCCUUCAUGAGUCACUGGCAAACAGCACUGAGUUUUGACUCAGUUUACCUGCUUCCUGCUUUAGCAUCUGCUCAUUAGUUGAGGGGAAUAGUGUCUGACAACCCACACCUUUGCAACUCUACUGGCACUCACAGCAAUUAGUUAUUUUAAACAAAUAUAUUUUUAAAACUCUACAGUGUGAGAGUUGUCUGUUGCAGAAGUUUAGAGCAGUGCCUCCAGGCCAGGAAGGGCUGUAGGAGUGCCUGCAUAUGUGGCAGAGAGAGUUAAGCAGAGUAACGAAGGAGAGCAACAUACGGUUUUCAGAAACUGGACACAAUAGAGAUAAGGAAAGUGAGGAAGGGGCUAAGCUAAUGGGCAUAAGGAAUGUGACUGUGGGUGGAUGUAGCCAGUUUCAUUAAGUAAACGAGUUCCAUGGUGCAGUGAAAAAUCAUAUUUCCUCCUCUUCACCAGCCACUGCUUCAGCUGACUCUGCAUGAAUUAAACUUUCUCUAUUGCAAUUCCCCUGCCUUGAUGAAUCAGCUCUAUCUAGGCAGUGGGCAAGAACCCAUUGGGUGGUUAUAAAUUGCAAAAUUGUUCAGCUGUGAGAGAGAAUUAAGAUGACACCAGACAGUACUCCUCCAACCCAUGAAUCCUGUGUUUAUUCCAUUGCCCAGGGGAUGCCUUUAUUCCCAAAGGUUAUCUCAGAUGAGGAGGAUAAGAGGAAUAAGGCUGUGAGAGGUUUGC
rnacentral:lncRNA from 10 species